rnacentral:rRNA from 1 species
AGUCACUGACAUUAGAUACCCCCGUAGUCCCAGCCCUAAACGAUGCGCGUUAGGUGUAUCGGUGACCACGAGUCACCGAGGUGCCGAAGGGAAACCGUGAAACGUGCCGCCUGGGAAGUACGGUCGCAAGGCUGAAACUUAAAGGAAUUGGCGGGGGAGCACCACAACGGGUGGAGCUUGCGGUUUAAUUGGAUUCAACGCCGGAAAUCUUACCGGGACCGACAGCAACAUGAAGGCCAAGCUGAAGACUUUGCCGGAUUAGCUG